rnacentral:rRNA from 1 species
UACGUAGGGCGCAAGCGUUGUCCGGAAUUAUUGGGCGUAAAGAGCUCGUAGGCGGUUUGUCGCGUCUGUCGUGAAAGCUUGGGGCUUAACCCCAAGUCUGCGGUGGAUACGGGCAGACUAGAGGCUGGUAGGGGAGAACGGAAUUCCCGGUGUAGCGGUGAAAUGCGCAGAUAUCGGGAGGAACACCGGUGGCGAAGGCGGUUCUCUGGGCCUGUACUGACGCUGAGGAGCGAAAGCGUGGGGAGCGAACAGG